rnacentral:rRNA from 1 species
UACGAAGGGGGCUAGCGUUGCUCGGAAUCACUGGGCGUAAAGCGCACGUAGGCGGGUUCUUAAGUCGGUGGUGAAAUCCUGGAGCUCAACUCCAGAACUGCCUCCGAUACUGAGAGCCUCGAGUCCGGGAGAGGUGAGUGGAACUGCGAGUGUAGAGGUGAAAUUCGUAGAUAUUCGCAAGAACACCAGUGGCGAAGGCGGCUCACUGGCCCGGGUACUGACGCUGAGGUGCGAAAGCGUGGGGAGCAAACAGG